rfam:Triticum aestivum genome assembly, contig: Triticum_aestivum_CS42_TGACv1_scaffold_034832_1BL
CAACUACUCCCUCUGUCGCAAAUUUCUUGUCUUAGAUUUGUCUAGAUACGGAUGUAUCUAAUACUAAAAUGUGACUUGAUACAUCCGUAUCUAGACAUCUAGACAAAUCUAAGACAAGAAUUUUGGGACGGAGGGAGUACUUU